rnacentral:rRNA from 1 species
AUUGAACGCUGGCGGCAUGCCUUACACAUGCAAGUCGAACGGUAACGGGCCUUCGGGUGCCGACGAGUGGCGCACGGGUGAGUAAUACAUCGGAACGUGCCCGAUCGUGGGGGAUAACGAGGCGAAAGCUUUGCUAAUACCGCAUACGAUCUACGGAUGAAAGCAGGGGACCGCAAGGCCUUGCGCGGACGGAGCGGCCGAUGGCAGAUUAGGUAGUUGGUGGGAUAAAAGCUUACCAAGCCGACGAUCUGUAGCUGGUCUGAGAGGAUGAUCAGCCACACUGGGACUGAGACACGGCCCAGACUCCUACGGGAGGCAGCAGUGGGGAAUUUUGGACAAUGGGCGCAAGCCUGAUCCAGCCAUGCCGCGUGCAGGAUGAAGGCCUUCGGGUUGUAAACUGCUUUUGUACGGAACGAAAAGCCUUCAUUUAAUACAGGAGGGUCAUGACGGUACCGUAAGAAUAAGCACCGGCUAACUACGUG